UACGUAGGGUGCGAGCGUUGUCCGGAAUUAUUGGGCGUAAAGAGCUCGUAGGCGGUUUGUCGCGUCUGCUGUGAAAACCUAAGGCUCAACCUUGGGCUUGCAGUGGGUACGGGCGAGACUAGAGUGCGGUAGGGGUGACUGGAAUUCCUGGUGUAGCGGUGAAAUGCGCAGAUAUCCAGGAGGAACACCGAUGGCGAAGGCAGGUCUCUGGGGCCGAUACUGACGCUGAGGAGCGAAAGCGUGGGGAGCGAACAGG
rnacentral:rRNA from 1 species